ensembl:miRNA gmo-mir-129-3 gmo-mir-129-3
CUUUUUGCGGUCUGGGCUUGCUGUGAUCGUGAUCUGGAAGCCCUUACCCCAAAAAGCAU